AAUGAACGCUGGCGGCAGGCCUAACACAUGCAAGUCGAGCGCGCCCUUCGGGGUGAGCGGCGGACGGGUGAGUAACGCGUGGGAACGUGCCCUUUGCUACGGAAUAGUCUCGGGAAACUGGGGGUAAUACCGUAUGAGCCCUUCGGGGGAAAGAUUUAUCGGCAAAGGAUCGGCCCGCGUUGGAUUAGCUAGUUGGUGAGGUAACGGCUCACCAAGGCGACGAUCCAUAGCUGGUCUGAGAGGAUGAUCAGCCACACUGGGACUGAGACACGGCCCAGACUCCUACGGGAGGCAGCAGUGGGGAAUAUUGGACAAUGGGCGCAAGCCUGAUCCAGCCAUGCCGCGUGAGUGAUGAAGGCCUUAGGGUUGUAAAGCUCUUUCAGUGGGGACGAUAAUGACGGUACCCACAGAAGAAGCCCCGGCUAACUUCGUG
rnacentral:rRNA from 1 species